UUUCUAAGGAUUUUAUAGCUUUCUAAGGAAAUAGGAUUCACACUUAAUUACAGGAGAUGACAAUUUUCAAACCUUACUUGACAUUUAUCAUAAAACGUAUAAGGUUCUACAGUCAGGAUGUUUCCCUUUACGUAAAUGGACUUUCAAUCGUGACGUCACGCAUGAUGAGUCCAAAGGGCAUUUCAUCGGCGAGCACACACAGAACAAAACACUCGGUUUGGGAUGGGAUGACGCGAGCGAUGAAUUGUAUUUCACUACAAAAAUACAAAAGUUGUCAAACGCGCCCCGAUUAAAUAAACGAAUUAUGUUGUCCAUUAUUUCACAUUUUACGAUCCUCUAGGCUUACUCUCACCGGCGGUUAUUAUUUCAAAAAUAUUCCUUCAAAAACUGUGGUUAAGUAAAAUCGAUUGAGACACUCCUGUGUCGAGAGACAUCGCACUGAUAUGGCGCAAUUUCAUAAAUGCUCUGAACUGCUUAAACGAUUUACGAAUUCCGCGCCAUGUUAGGAGCGAUCAUACGGAACUUCAUAUAUUUUCCGAUGCAUGCCUACGGCGCGUGCGCAUAUGUACGAACAUACGGGGAAGGUUCAGCAGUAUCCGUAAAAUUAUUGUGUGGCAAAAGCAAAGUUGCACCCUUGAAUUCGCUUACUAUUCCUCGCCUUGAACUUCGCUCGUGGGUGCUCGACUUUAUAAGAAAAUAACCGAAUCUUUAAGGUCCGCAACUCCUCUUACCUACUACGCGUGAAUGUUGGUGGCCGCUAGAACGCAGCGCGGAACUUGCAAGGAAAACUGUGCGACAAUGUGUUACAUGCACUCGACUAAAAGGUAAAACUCUUAAUCCUAUUAUGGGUAAUCAUGUAGUUGAACGGUUGGAACAUGGUUUUCCUUUUAUUCGAACAGCUGUUGAUCACUGCGGGCCAAUGUUCAUCUUAAAUCGAAGGGGCAGAGGAGCUCAACUUGUUAAAUCAUGUUUGUUUCUUCAUAUGUAUGAUCACACGCGCAGCCCACUUAGAAGUGGUUACGAGUCUUUCCACUGAUGAUUAUCUUUUGACAUUAAAACGUUUUAUUAGUAGAAGGAGUAAACCUCACGUAAUCUUUUCCGAUAAUGGUAAAAACUUUGUGGGAGAAGAAAAAGAGCUUUCCAUGGUAAAAAUAAAUCGCAGGAAAUAAUCGAUUCUGCUGCUAAUGAGAGCAUCAAAUUCAGCAUUCCGCCAUAUUCACCUCAUUUUGCCGGGUUUUGGGAUGCUGGAAUAAAAUCGUGUAAAUACCACCUUAGACGAGUAGUAAGUAGGCAAUGCGAGGGUAACGUACGAGGAGUUUAGCACGGUUUUAACACAAAUCGAAGCCGUCCUAAAUUCCCGUCCCAUGUCACCUAUGUCCACAGAUCUCAAUGACUUCUCUCCACUUACACCUGCACAUUUCCUAAUUGGCCGACCGUUGACGAGCCCUGCAAGUGACGACCUGACGGACGAGCAGCCUUCCCGCCUGUCACGCUACGCCAGGAUCGAAUUACUGCGCCAGCACUUUUGGCAACGUUAGGCUAAAGAAUACAUUGCAGAACUACAGAUUAGAACGAAAUGGAAGACGAAGAAAAUCGACAUUACAUUAGACAGCCUCGUCCUAAUUAAAGAGGAUAACCUGCCUCCACUCAAUUGGCGGUUAGGCCGUGUUACACGUGUAUUUCCAGUUCAAGACGGCGUAUCCCGUGUCGCGGAUAUCCGCACAGCAACGGGGACUAUUCGACGUGCCUUUUCGAAGAUCUGCCCGCUCCUGUCAGAGCCCGCAGUCGACGAGCGAAGACUUGAGAGCUGGUGCUCCCAACAGAACA